CUCUUCUAGUAUAACCAUUACAAUUGACUUCCAAUCUCUAAAGUCCGGCCCUAAACCCGGAGAAGAGCA
rnacentral:tRNA from 1 species